rnacentral:rRNA from 1 species
AGUCGAACGAAGCAGGGGGGCGGAAUCUCUCCGGACGGGAAGCCCACCUGACUGAGUGGCGGACGGGUGAGUAACGCGUGGACAACCUACCCCGCACUGGGGGACAACAGCCGGAAACGGCUGCUAAUACCGCAUAUGCGCACGGCCCCGCAUGGGGCCGCGCGGAAAGCGCAUGCGGUGCGGGAUGGGUCCGCGUCUGAUUAGCUUGUUGGCGGGGUAACGGCCCACCAAGGCGACGAUCAGUAGCCGGCCUGAGAGGGUGGACGGCCACAUUGGGACUGAGACACGGCCCAGACUCCUACGGGAGGCAGCAGUGGGGGAUAUUGCACAAUGGGGGCAACCCUGAUGCAGCGACGCCGAAAAAACGAUGGAGUACUUCCCCCCCCCCCGCUCUGUCAGCAGGGAAGAGAAUGACGGUACCUGACCAAGAAGCCCCGGCUAAAUACGUGCCAGCAGCCGCGGUAAUACGUAUGGGGCAAGCGUUAUCCGGAUUUACUGGGUGUAAAGGGAGCGUAGGCGGCAGGGCAAGCCUGAUGUGAAAGCCCGGGGCUCAACCCCGGGACUGCAUUGCCAACUGCCCCGCUCGAGUGCCGGAGGGG